AGUAAUGCUUAGGAAUCUGCCUAUUAGUGGGGGACAACGUUUCGAAAGGAACGCUAAUACCGCAUACGCCCUACGGGGGAAAGCNGGGGAUCUUCGGACCUUGCGCUAAUAGAUGAGCCUAAGCCAGAUUAGCUAGUUGGUGGGGUAAAGGCCUACCAAGGCGACGAUCUGUAGCGGGUCUGAGAGGAUGAUCCGCCACACUGGGACUGAGACACGGCCCAGACUCCUACGGGAGGCAGCAGUGGGGAAUAUUGGACAAUGGGGGGAACCCUGAUCCAGCCAUGCCGCGUGUGUGAAGAAGGCCUUUUGGUUGUAAAGCACUUUAAGCGGGGAGGAGGCUCUUCUAGUUAAUACCUAGGAUGAGUGGACGUUACCCGCAGAAUAAGCACCGGCUAACUCUGUGCCAGCAGCCGCGGUAAUACAGAGGGUGCGAGCGUUAAUCGGAUUUACUGGGCGUAAAGCGUACGUAGGCGGCUUUUUAAGUCGGAUGUGAAAUCCCUGAGCUUAACUUAGGAAUUGCAUUCGAUACUGGGAAGCUAGAGUAUGGGAGAGGAUGGUAGAAUUCCAGGUGUAGCGGUGAAAUGCGUAGAGAUCUGGAGGAAUACCGAUGGCGAAGGCAGCCAUCUGGCCUAAUACUGACGCUGAGGUACGAAAGCAUGGGGAGCAAACAGGAUUAGAUACCCUGGUAGUCCAUGCCGUAAACGANGUCUACUAGCCGUUGGGGCCUUUGAGGCUUUAGUGGCGCAGCUAACGCGAUAAGUAGACCGCCUGGGGAGUACGGUCGCAAGACUAAAACUCAAAUGAAUUGACGGGGGCCCGCACAAGCGGUGGAGCAUGUGGUUUAAUUCGAUGCAACGCGAAGAACCUUACCUGGCCUUGACAUAGUAAGAACUUU
rnacentral:rRNA from 1 species